CCAGACUCCUACGGGAGGCAGCAGUGAGGAAUAUUGGUCAAUGGGCGGGAGCCUGAACCAGCCAAGUCGCGUGAGGGACGACGGUCCUAUGGAUUGUAAACCUCUUUUGUCGGGGAACAAAGGCGCCCACGGGUGGGCGGAUGAGUGUACCCGAAGAAAAAGCAUCGGCUAACUCCGUGCCAGCAGCCGCGGUAAUACGGAGGAUGCGAGCGUUAUCCGGAUUUAUUGGGUUUAAAGGGUGCGCAGGCGGAAUGUCAAGUCAGCGGUAAAAUUUCGGGGCUCAACCCCGUCGUGCCGUUGAAACUGGCGUUCUUGAGUGAGCGAGAAGUAUGCGGAAUGCGUGGUGUAGCGGUGAAAUGCAUAGAUAUCACGCAGAACUCCGAUUGCGAAGGCAGCAUACCGGCGCUCAACUGACGCUCAUGCACGAAAGCGUGGGUAUCGAACAGGAUUAGAUACCCGCGUA
rnacentral:rRNA from 1 species